UAUACAUGAGCCACAUUACAGGCACUCUGACCGCAAUUUCGAUUCCUACCAGAGGAAAAGAAUUGGAGUUAUGUACAUGAGCCACAUUCUAGGCCAUCUGGCCGCAGGUUCGACUCCUACCAGAGGGCCUAAAGUUGUAUUUUUCGCAAUUGUUCCUGGUUAAGUUUAAUAAAUGUAUAAAAAUUAUACCCAAAAUUUCCAUCUACAAAACCCUUUCACAAUCAGUUAUAUCAAGUGAGAUGCCCAACGGCACCCUGAUAUUUCCGCAUACUCUUAAAC